UACGGGGGGGGCAAGCGUUGUUCGGAAUUACUGGGCGUAAAGGGCUCGUAGGCGGCCAACUAAGUCAGACGUGAAAUCCCCAGGCUCAACCUGGGAACUGCGUCUGAUACUGGAUGGCUUGAAUUCGGGAGAGGGAUGCAGAAUUCCAGGUGUAGCGGUGAAAUGCGUAGAUAUCUGGAGGAACACCGGUGGCGAAGGCGGCAUCCUGGACCAAUACUGACGCUGAGGAGCGAAAGCCAGGGGAGCAAACGGG
rnacentral:rRNA from 1 species